AUUAAAAAAGAUGGAAGGGAGAGUGGGAGGGUGAUAUUGGAGACCCAUUUCUGCCAUUGCUUGUGCUUGUUCGUCUGGAUCUUCUCCUCCAUUUUCUUUUAUCUUCUUUUCUCUUUCUUUCUUAGCUUCCUCACAAGUCUUUGUAUGCCAAACAUGAUUACAAUAAAAACAAAAUUCUGUGUCACAAUGUCCACAUUUCAAUUUUGGAAAGUCUUUUGAUUCUCUUCCAUGUACUCCUUCUUUACAUCGAAAGCAGUAACGGGCCUCAGGAUCAAACCAUAAGCGGGCAUAUUUUCUGUUUCGCUUAUAU
rnacentral:ribozyme from 13 species